rnacentral:ncRNA from 1 species
ACCGGAAGAGGAGCGGUAUUCAGGUAACUGAUAGUAGAGGGCUAAGCCUUGAAGAUUAUCAGCCAGGGGGAUAUUCGCCGAGAGGUUUGAUUUCUUAGAAAAGAUUAAACUUCGGUUAGGCCGGUUGAAUCCGACUAACUGUCACCAUUAGGUGGAGAGCUUUCGG